AUGAAAGGAGAAUUGGGCGCACCUGUUUCUGGAGAUGACGAAGAAGGUUGCAAUGCCGGUGGCUGUUAUUCUCGCUUGACUGCUUUCCUCUCUCUCCCCGUUGUGUCCACUGUCUUCCUUUUUUUCUUCUUUUUUUGAUUUCCCUGUUCUUGAGAUGAAGAAGCUGAGUCGGUAUGUCUGUUUCUUAAGAUGAAACACAGACAAUUGCAGGGAUCUCUCCUUUCUGUAUCUGUUACUCUCUUAUUCUCUCCUUCUCUGUGUAUGUUAUUUUCGGUUUAUGCUCUGUUUUUCUCUGGUUUUUUUACUCUGUCUUGGCUCCCCCCUCUUCUCCUCUGAUUUUCGGCCCCUUUUAUAGAGACCCAGCUGCUUGCCUCUAACCAUUCCUGCCUUUACAGGACUGUUAUCUUCCCCGACGAGAUCGUGGGCGAGAGACGUGGUCCACGAUCAGAUUUGUUGCAGAUUAUCAGCUCCCCUGCUGAAUCGGGAGCUCCCCUGUUGAAGCGGGAUGGAGAAGACGCACGGCUGUUAGCAACGGUGCCGUUUCGGCAGCAAAUGGGAAUUUUCAAUUUGACCCCUGCCUCUGGAAAUUUAACAAUUUGAUCCCAACAAUCUUUUAAUUUUACCCUUGGAUUAAUUUCAAUUAAGUCCCUGAAUUUAUUUAAUUAAUUAAAUCAAAGUUUAAUUAAGUCCUCGAACUCAUUAAUUUUUCAAUUAAACUCUUG
rnacentral:lncRNA from 1 species